AUCACUGAAGGAUCUUGUUGAAAUGCAGAUUCUGAUUCUGUAAAUCGGGGGAGGGGCCCAAGAUUCUGCAGUUCUAACAAGCCCCCAGGGGUUGCUGA
rnacentral:pre_miRNA from 1 species